GUGGUGGAGGCAUCACAUGUCCAAACCAACCGGAGCAUGGAGCUGGGAGUCACGUGUCCUGGACCACAGGAUCCACAUCUCUUCACACCAGAGCAUCAUCAGACAGGGAUCCAGAUCCAAGGGGCAGACAGGGAUCCAGAUCCAAGGUGCAGACAGGGAUCCAGAUCCAAGGUGCAGACAGGGAUCCAGAUCCAAGGUGCAGUCAGGGAUCCAGAUCCAAGGUGCAGUCAGGGAUCCAGAUCCAAGGUGCAGUCAGGGAUCCAGAUCCAAGGUGCAGACAGGGAUCCAGAUCCAAGGUAAAUUCCUUCCAAUGCAAACAGUGCUGGGCCCCGGAUACCAUGAAUGAGUUGCAGAGAGGGACAGGUUCAGUCCAGAAAUGCUGACCAGCUACUUAAAAAGAGAAAACCGAAGAGUUCGAGACAGAGGGCAUAAAAUAUCUGAACCUCCAGCGUCAAGGCCGUGGAGAAAUCCCGUCAAGAGCAACCACUGACAUGUUCAUCAGAAUCUGCGAAUACUUCAUAAACCAGAGACCAACAGAAAUGAUUGGUAAGCGAACCGUAGAAACCGUAACAGUUGGAUCCAUCUUUCUUUUAUCUCUACCAGGUAUCCCCUGGAAAGGUCGCCUGCGUGUCACACACCAACACAUGGAGACAAACAACUAUUCGCUCUCACAUUCACACCUACAGUCAGUUCAGAGUCUCACAGUCACCUAACCCAAAGUUAGCUCGUCUUUGAACUGUGGGAAGAAGCCAGAGAACCGUAAGAAUAUCCACACAAACACGCAUGGAACAUGUUAACUCCACACAGAAAACUGUAUUCUCACCUUGAAUUCACGUUCAUUUGUGAAAAACGAAUUGAAUAUUUCUAUUACAAUGUUGUAACAUGAUUGCAUUACCCUAUGUUACCAGCAGAGAGCAGCCUUACUCUAACAUUGGACAGGUGCAAAUGAGAGCAAGGUUAUGUCUCAUCUUAAAAACAAUUCUGUAACGGGGUUUCAUUAUUAUCGUCUUUGACAUCAAACAGCUUCCCUGUACAACCAGUUUGCUCCGUGUUCUCGUGUGUUACUGUCCGGGCAGCACAUGGACCUUUCCAGAUGUGCAUGACCGUUAAACAGAUCAUAUAUCAACACAGUCUUGUCAAGUCAUUUUAUUUUUGGUUUCCUAAGUAUGUAAAAGUUCCACAUGAGAAACAAAACACUUCCCUCCCACAGAACAUUGUGUAGUUGAUAUUCUAGGUGCAAGGCAUCAAAGGGCACAAAGGCUAAAACCUGUUUCAACAUGUGGGCUGAUGAUUUUAUUCUCUGUUGCUCUGACUAUAUUGUAUUUUUUAUUUCCAUGAAAAUUGUAUAGUUGUAUCAGUAAAAAAAUGCAGAGAGGGACAGGUUCAGUCCAGAAAUGCUGACCAGCUACUUAAAAAGAGAAAACGUAAGUAUCUCCACCAAGACUUAAAUUCUGAUUCUGAAACUGAAAAAUGAACCACGUGCUGUGUUGUGGCCGUCUCCAGGUGGAAAUGGGUUUGCUUGUGAAUUUAAACAGCGAAGAGUUCGAGACAGAGGGCAUAAAAUAUCUGAAACUCCAGCGUCAAGGGUAAGAGUGGAGUUUUUGUCAUGAGUUCGACAAAUUGUAAGUUGUUGUUCCUUCACUGAUGACACUUUGACCUCAGUGACAGCAGGGGGCGCUCUUCCAUCGGUCUCACACCUUCUCAUCUUGUCCAGAUCUGCUCGUACCUUUUAAACACUUCCUGAUGUGUAAAUCCAAACCGCUCCAACAUCAGCACAAUGUGUGAACGUCACAUCAACAAUGUGGCGUCGUGAGCCAGCCGGUGGUUGUGUUGUCUCUGCGGGACAUUGGACAGUUGUGCUGCUAAAUCUGAUCCUCGUCCUCUGACACUGGUUCAUUUUAUCUUCAUCAGCGUUGCCAGGCAACCUCCUCUACUGGGGAUCUGAGAUUCAGAUGGUUUGAUGUCGUGUGGCUGAAGCUGCUGUGAACCUUCUAAUGAAGAGACUUAGUUUACGAUGUCUUUCCGAGGGCUUUGUAUUCCACCUGGAAUCCAGUUUCUCCUUUUAUAGAUGAGUCAGUGUCACUUCAAAAUGGACUGCACACUGUUUGUCUGUUUUCUCUGUUUCAUUUCCACUUUUCAUCCACUCUUUACCUCUCUGAAUGGUUCAACCAUCUCUGGGUGGCCUUUGUGUGUAAAGGCAGGACCCCCCCACUCUACGGUGAAGGGGGUCUGCUGGGGAGUCUUCUGACGGUGGGACUUGACGCCCCCGUUCAGAACAUGGACUCAGCCUGAACACAUUUCAAAGAGGACUUUUUUUUUUGUUGUGUUAAACCACAAGGCACAAUUCAAAUGAGUGCUGAUAUGAGUUUCUGCAUAUUGCACCUCCAAUAGUGUUUUUUAAAAAUGCUUAUGAUGUAUUAUAAAUGUAGACUUGAGGUAGAGUUCUAAGUUUGGGUCCCUCUUUGUCCCGAAGGUGUUCACUGCACACACGGCUUCAACAGGACAGGCUUUCUGAUAUGUGUGUACCUGGUGGAGAAGAUGGACUUUAGCAUCGGAGGCUGUGGCUGCUCCCGGCCGUCCAGGACUCCAGGGGUCUACAAGGGAGGCUACCUCGAGGAGCGUUUCCGUCGCUAUGGAAACGAACAGGACACACCCCCGGCCCCCACACCGCCCGAGUGGUGCCUUGACGACGAUGACGACUAAAGAUUUCCUAAUUCAUAUUUCCACACUAGUUUGUUGCUUGGCAACGUGUCCACAAUUUGAAUAAAAUCUAUGUGGACUGAACAUUA